rnacentral:rRNA from 1 species
GACGGAGGGUGCAAACGUUGUUCGGAAUCACUGGGCGUAAAGCGCGCGUAGGCGGACUUGUAAGUCGGGAGUGAAAACUCGGGGCUCAACCCCGAGCCUGCUUCCGAAACUGCGAGUCUUGAGGACCGGAGAGGAAAGUGGAAUUCCUAGUGUAGCGGUGGAAUGCGUAGAUAUUAGGAAGAACACCAGUGGCGAAGGCGACUUUCUGGACGGUUCCUGACGCUGAGGCGCGAAAGCUAGGGGAGCGAACGGG